rnacentral:rRNA from 1 species
GAGUUUGAUCCUGGCUCAGGAUGAACGCUGGCGGCGUGCCUAAUACAUGCAAGUCGAACGCACAGCGAAAGGUGCUUGCACCUUUCAAGUGAGUGGCGAACGGGUGAGUAACACGUGGACAACCUGCCUCAAGGCUGGGGAUAACAUUUGGAAACAGAUGCUAAUACCGAAUAAAACUUAGUGUCGCAUGACACAAAGUUAAAAGGCGCUUCGGCGUCACCUAGAGAUGGAUCCGCGGUGCAUUAGUUAGUUGGUGGGGUAAAGGCCUACCAAGACAAUGAUGCAUAGCCGAGUUGAGAGACUGAUCGGCCACAUUGGGACUGAGACACGGCCCAAACUCCUACGGGAGGCUGCAGUAGGGAAUCUUCCACAAUGGGCGAAAGCCUGAUGGAGCAACGCCGCGUGUGUGAUGAAGGCUUUCGGGUCGUAAAGCACUGUUGUAUGGGAAGAACAGCUAGAAUAGGAAAUGAUUUUAGUUUGACGGUACCAUACCAGAAAGGGACGGCUAAAUACGUGCCAGCAGCCGCGGUAAU